rnacentral:lncRNA from 1 species
ACAUACAUACACUUCAUCACAUCAUGCUACAUACACCUACACAUACAAGUAGCCACAAGUGCUGACUAGGCACAUCAUGCCUUGGGCAUGUGUGUGACACACACUCACAUAUCCACACACUCACAUAUAUCAUCACCUACACUACACACAAAGUAAUUGAAGGGGAAACCCACACACACACACAAGAUCAUGGGCACUUGCAC